CGCUGAUCGGCGGCUUACCAUGCAGUCGAGGGGCAGCAUAGGUACUUGUACCUGAUGGCGACCGGCGGACGGGUGAGUAACGCGUAUGGAACCUACCUUUUACAGGGGGAUAGCCCAGAGAAAUUUGGAUCAAUACCUCAUAGUAUAUAAUUGCGGCAUCGUGAUUAUAUUAAAGAUUUAUCGGUAAAAGAUGGCCAUGCGUUCUAUUAGCUAGAUGGUAAGGUAACGGCUUACCAUGGCUACGAUAGAUAGGGGCCCUGAGAGGGGGAUCCCCCACACUGGUACUGAGACACGGACCAGACUCCUACGGGAGGCAGCAGUGAGGAAUAUUGGACAAUGGGCGAGAGCCUGAUCCAGCCAUGCCGCGUGCAGGAAGACUGCCCUAUGGGUUGUAAACUGCUUUUAUACAGGAAGAAACACUCCCUCGUGAGGGAGCUUGACGGUACUGUAAGAAUAAGGAUCGGCUAACUCCGUGCCAGCAGCCGCGGUAAUACGGAGGAUCCAAGCGUUAUCCGGAAUCAUUGGGUUUAAAGGGUCCGUAGGUGGACAAUUAAGUCAGGGGUGAAAGCCUAUAGCUCAACUAUAGAAUUGCCUUUGAUACUGGUUGUCUUGAGUUAUUAUGAAGUAGUUAGAAUAUGUGGUGUAGCGGUGAAAUGCAUAGAUAUUACAUAGAAUACCGAUUGCGAAGGCAGAUUACUAAUAAUACACUGACACUGAUGGACGAAAGCGUGGGGAGCGAACAGGAUUAGAUACCCUGGUAGUCCACGCCGUAAACGAUGGAUACUAGUUGUUCGGAUUUAUCUGAGUGACUAAGCGAAAGUGAUAAGUAUCCCACCUGGGGGAGUACGUUCGCAAGAAUGAAACUCAAAGGAAUUGACGGGGGCCCGCACAAGCGGUGGAGCAUGUGGUUUAAUUCGAUGAUACGCGAGGAACCUUACCAGGGCUUAAAUGUAGUGUGACAGGGGUGGAAACAUCUUUUUCUUCGGACACAUUACAAGGUGCUGCAUGGUUGUCGUCAGCUCGUGCCGUGAGGUGUCAGGUUAAGUCCUAUAACGAGCGCAACCCCUGUUGUUAGUUGCCAGCGAUUCAAGUCGGGAACUCUAACAGGACUGCCCGGUGCAACCGUGAAGGAAGGUGGGGGAUGACGUCAAUCAUCACGGCCCUUACGUCUGGGCUACACACGUGCUACAAAUGGUAGGACAGAGAGCAGCACUUGGGCCGACCCAGGAGCGAAUCUUAUAACCCUAUUCACAAGUUCG
rnacentral:rRNA from 1 species